rnacentral:rRNA from 1 species
AUUGAACGCUGGCGGCAGGCCUAACACAUGCAAGUCGAGCGGAUGAAGGGAGCUUGCUCCUGGAUUCAGCGGCGGACGGGUGAGUAAUGCCUAGGAAUCUGCCUGGUAGUGGGGGAUAACGUCCGGAAACGGGCGCUAAUACCGCAUACGUCCUUAGUGUGAAAGUGGGGGAUCUUCGGACCUCACGCUAUCAGAUGAGCCUAGGUCGGAUUAGCUAGUUGGUGGGGUAAAGGCCUACCAAGGCGACGAUCCGUAACUGAUCUGAGAGGAUGAUCAGUCACACUGGAACUGAGACACGGUCCAGACUCCUACGGGAGGCAGCAGUGGGGAAUAUUGGACAAUGGGCGAAAGCCUGAUCCAGCCAUGCCGCGUGUGUGAAGAAGGUCUUCGGAUUGUAAAGCACUUUAAGUUGGGAGGAAGGGAAGUAAGUUAAUACCUUGCUGUUUUGACGUUACCAACAGAAUAAGCACCGGCUAACUUCGUG